UCAGGACUUGAGAGAGAUGCACAACACUCGGACUGAAAAGCAGCUGCAGGAACAUGAAGCUCCCUGCCUAUGUAGCCACAGCUGGAGAAGGCCAGUCUACCUCACCUUCUGUACUGUUCCCAGAAAGGACCUCAGCCCCAACACCAGCUUACCAUGUUGUCAUUACUAACCACAUCACCUAGUUUUGACUAGGUCCUUUCUCUGGGUUUAGCUCCUACCUACCUCCCAAGACAGGCUAACAGUACUAAUCAGGAUCGAAGUCUGUAGAAUUGGAAACCUGUAGUAAAGAGAAGUUUGAAUGUUCCUGGGUUGUGUUAGAGAAUGGGUUUUGUGUGCAAACUUUAUUUUAGAGAAAUGAGGUCUUAUUCAGGGUGGAAAGACAGCAGUAAGUGCCGAUGGGGAACCAAGAAGGGCUGGUGUGGUUAUAUUUUGGCUGUGCUCUAACAAAUAAAGCUUGCCUAGAGAUCAGAGCUCGGAGCCAGCCACUAGAGACUGGGCAGUGGUAGCACACACCUUUAAUCCAGCCCUUGGGAUCUCAUGCCUUCGAUCCCAGUACUUGGGAGGAGGAGACAGGAAGUGAUAUGGCUGGGUGGAGAGAGGAAGAGAGAAGGCGAGGUGGAGACAGGAGCUCAGCCCUUUCGGUCUGAGGAUUCAGGAGAGGUAAGAAGUCUCUCUAGUGGCUGGUUUGUUUACUUCUCUGAUCUUUCAGCAUUUAACCCCUAUAUCUGACUCCAGGUUUUUAUUAUUUAGACCAAUUGUACAGUCCUUAUUUGCCUCUUCAGAUCCGUUCUCCAUCCUUUUCUACUCUGCUCUACGCCAAUGUCUUGACCUUUAUCGCCAGUGCUAACCUGACCAAUGAGAAGCACUGACUUAAGACAUGGGCUUCGGACAAUUAAGCAAAAGAGAUGGGAGUGAAUUCCCAUACGGAAUUCACUAGUACAAAUGUUUGCUUUAUUCUGCUCUAAGGGAACCAGACUCUCUCUGAAUAAAAAUUUACUAAUCACUAAACGUUUCCAUUUGUCUUUUUCAUUUGAAGGCUGACAAAAGCCAGACUGGUCUUGAAGAAUGAAUGUGGGUUUAUACAAACCUAAAUGUGGAAUUCGGCACAAGCUUACAGUUAUCCCCAUAGAGAAACCUCAGUUGAAAAAAUGUAUCCAUCUGUGUGGAGGCCCACAGGGGCUUCCUAGUAAGACCUUACUCAAGGUCAGAGAAUCUGAACUUGCUUUACUCAGCAGGGCUACAUAAUGGGAGUGAUUCGGCCACAUGCGUGAGUACCAGAACUCUUCAACAGCUUGGAGCUGGACUCUGAUGGACUCCCACACAUCUGUAAGCAAGUACGUGGUGGGAAUUCUCUUGAUUAAUAAUUGAUGUAAGAUGCCCAGUUCACUGUGGGGCCUGGGCAGGUGGUCCUAGAUUGUAUAAGAAAGCAGGCUGAGUAAGUCAUGAGUAUCAAGCCAGUAAACAGCAUUUCUCUAUUGCAUUUACUUUGGUUCCUGCCUCCAGGUUCUUACCUUGAGUUCCUGCCAUUUUUUUUUUCAGUGAUGGAGUGUGACCUGAGAGAUUUAAGCUAAAAUAAACCCUUUCCUCCUCAAGUUGCUUUGGUCAUGGUGUUUUAUCACAGCAGUAGAAAUCCUAACUAACACAGAUGCCUAUGGCAUCUCCUCAUUGACUAAGAUGAUUCCACAUGGACUUUUCUUUCUGUGACUUGAAUGGUUCUGGUUGAAUAUACAUAUACCAGUAGCCAUGUCACAAUAGCAGGUGGCAAUUGAAGUUCUAGGUGUCAGCCCACCGGAAGAAUAACUCUGUGAUGGGUAAAGCUCAUUAAGCAAGGUCACAAGACUACAGACUCCAGAAUGUCUUUCGCUUCUGUUGUUCCUCCACAUGUUUGCUGCUGCAGUCUUUCCCUGGUACCUGGCACAGUGUGAGGGGGUGUGGGAAGUCCCCCACUGCCUGUAUUAUAGUGUGUUUAUCUCAUGAAAACAUCCUGAUCUACUGGGCAUUUUUAUCUAUGGAUUGUCAAGAAGAUGAUUCCUCCUUAAGCUGUACUGUCUAAUUAAUAUUAAUAAUGUUAGCUUAUACAGAGUUUUGAUGAAUAAAAUAAAUACAAAGAAAUGCUACACAGUCAGGGUCUAUGAGUUCCCCCUAAAGAGUUGCUUCAGACACAGCUCAAAUUAAUGAUUAACUAUGAACCAGAUUGGCUCAAAUUCCUUUAAUUUUAUUUCUGAGAAAUGUGUGCACCAUAGCUGAAACAAAGCUUCAGAUUAACUUUAGA